ACACGCAUGACACACUGCAUAUCAAUAAGCGGAGGAAAAGAAACUAACAAGGAUUCCCCUAGUAACGGCGAGUGAAGCGGGAAGAGCUCAAAUUUGAAAUCUUAAAGGGUUUCCCUUUACGAAUUGUAGUUUAAAGAAGUGUUUUCUGUUGGAGUUUCGGUAAAAGUUCUUUGGAAUAGGACGUCAUAGAGGGUGAGAAUCCCGUAUUUGACCGUUACUUUCCAGCUGUGUGAUACACUUUCAAAGAGUCGGAUUGUUUGGGAAUGCAGUCCAAAAUGGGUGGUAAAUUUCAUCUAAAGCUAAAUAUUGGCGAGAGACCGAUAGCGAACAAGUACCGUGAGGGAAAGAUGAAAAGAACUUUGAAAAGAGAGUUAAACAGUACGUGAAAUUGUCAAAAGGGAAGCGUUUGACACCAGUGUUGUUUAGUUGAAAAUCAAUUCAAUAAUUUUUGAUUUUAAGUAGUAUUGACUUCAUCAGCUUGCUGCUUUCUUUUCAGGAAUUAUUGAAUGCACUUUUCAGUUAACAAGUCAACAUCAAUUUCUUUUGUUGUAAAAGGGUAAGAGGAAGGUGGCUUACGCUUCGGCGUAAGUGUUUAUAGCCUUUUACCUCUGCAAUCGGAGAGAUUGAGGACAGCAGCGUAGACUCUUCGGGGUUAGAUACACUUGUGCUAAGCUAUAGCCUUGUAUAGACAACUUGUUGACUAUGCUCAGUCAUGUAGCUUACUCGCUUGUGCUAUUUUACCUACGCUUAGGAUGUUGAGCGCAUGUCUCUCUCU
rnacentral:rRNA from 1 species